CAAAAUCCCAUCGGGCCGGACUGGCACCCGAAGCCGAGAAGGCCCGGGAGAACCCGUUCAAAUACCUGUACUUUCACUUACAUGUCACCAAAAAAAUUGGACAGCACUUCGUUGCAUAUAGAAAGGUCUAAUUACCUGUAUCAGCACAACACGCGCAAAUAUAUAUAUAUAUAUAUAAUACUUGGCCGUCGGGGCCACCACAUAUACAGAUAUAACAUCACUAUAUAAACUUCCAUGACUUUACCCUUCCUUAUGUCUACAAAGCCUCUAGGAUAUACAUGACAUAACUAGGGUCGGGAC
rnacentral:lncRNA from 1 species